rnacentral:rRNA from 1 species
UACGUAGGGGGCAAGCGUUAUCCGGAAUUACUGGGUUUAAAGGGUGCGUAGGCGGCUUAGUAAGUCAGGGGUGAAAGGUCACGGCUCAACCGUGGAAUUGCCUUUGAUACUGUUGAGCUUGAAUCAGGAUGAGGUUGGCAGAAUGUGGCAUGUAGCGGUGAAAUGCAUAGAUAUGCCAUAGAACACCGAUUGCGAAGGCAGCUGGCUAGACCUUGAUUGACGCUGAGGCACGAAAGCGUGGGGAGCGAACAGG